AGCCGCGCUGGUCUCCAGUGCCUGUGGGCUCUGCUGUCCCAUGCUUUUGAUAACGCUCGCAGGCCCUGGUGUCAGGCCGGGCCCUCCGGGAGACGCAGGCAGGAGGAUCCCAGGUUGAACCCGGCUGGAGCCUCCUCAGCGACCUGGCGAGACCGGCUCAAAAUAACAAAUAAAAAGGGCUGGCUGUGUAGAUCACUGUGAAGCCCCUGAGUUCAGCCCCGGUACCGGCCUCCCCUCAGACUUUUUUUUGUUUCCCUCUUGGUUUGGAUCCACUAAAUUCAUUUCACCUAUGAGUGGAUUCAACCUUCAGCUUCACAGAAGAGUUUGUUCACGUAAGACAUUUAGAACAGAGCCACUUCUGCUAUGCUGUCCGUUUUUACAUCCACGUAAUUUCUGCAGAUAGCUUUCAGGAACGCUGCCGUGUGAAUUCCCCUGGGCUGGCCAGCCGGAUUCUUGCAGUGUUGAAGUUUUAUUGUAUUUUCUAUACCAUCCUCUCUCUGGAUGGAGAUGAAAACUAUAUACAAGUACAUAUAUCAAAACAGCGACAGAAACAAUAACUUUUUCCUUCAGUUCGAGAUCACACCUUGCAUUUGAUCGUCCUUUUCUUCUUCAAUUUGGAAGACAUUCUCAGGUUCUGUGGGCAGGAACUUGGGAGCAGCGCAGCAAGGCCUGGGGUCCCUCGAAGACUGCAGUCAAGACCCUGCGGCCCCCCCGAGGGGCUGCCUAGGACUGCAGGGUGGCAGGGAGGAUGGCUCACGGAGGUGCUGGUGGACCAGAUGCCUCAUUUCUCCACCAAACAAGCGUGGCUGCUGGGCUGCAGGAGUGUCGAGUGUUCUCAGGACCGGCAGGCAGCUGGCUUCUCCCAGAUCAUGAAGGGCAUAAGCCCGGAUGUAUUUCAUGAUGCUAUGUCCUUAAUGGGGGGGCGCAUGUCAUCUACUGGCCCUGUUACUAGCAGUGAUCACUCUGAUCACUUAAGGUGGCAGUAACUUUGACCCUUCAAUUAAGCUGGUGUCUGCCAGGUUUGUCGAGUGUAAAGUUACUCUUCUUCCCUUUAAGUAAUAAGGAUUUUGUGGGUAUAUACUGUAAAAUUAUGUAAAUAACCUCAUCUUUAUGUCAGCAUUUCACCUUCUAAUUUUAGCAUACAUGAAUAAUUCUUGUCUGAAACAGUUAUCACUGUUAUGAUCGCCAGAUGAAUUCUUUCUAAUUCAAUCAUUACUUCUGUAUUCAUGAGCUGGCAUCUAUUAUAAAUAAAAGCUUUCU